rnacentral:lncRNA from 1 species
UUGUUUUACAGUCCUGAGGUCGGAAGCCCGGCACUGUCCCCCUGGGUUAAAGUGGAGGUGUCGAUAGGGCGGGUCCGUUCUCUAGCUCCAGGGGAACGUCUGGCCCUUGCCUUUCCCACCUUCUAGAGGCUCCUGCAUUCCUCAGCUAGUGGCUUGUGGACUCUUCUGUCUUCAGAGCCAGCAGUGUGCAUUUCUCUGUGCCUUUCUCCGUAGUCAUAUCUUCCUCUGACCCUGACCCCCUUUUCACUUUUGAGGAGUUGUGAUUACAUUGAGGGCACGAAGGCCAUCCAGGACAAGUGCCCUCUUUCAAGGCCAUCUGAUUCCAUCUGCAACCUCAGUGUCGCCUUGCUGUGUUACCUAACAUAGGCACAGGUCUGGAGAUCAGGACUUGGAUGUUUUUGGGUUUUUUUUAGAAGCACUGUUCUGCCUUCUGCACUGUCUGUAGCGUUUCUGGUGGAUGCUGCAUCACAGGGCCUCACUACCUUUUCCGAGGCAAAUCCUUCUUGGAGCACCUGCUGAGGUGCUUUCUGCUGGGGACCGUAAGUGAGCAUCGAAA